AGGGUAGUAUAUCAAUGGUCAGAUUACUCCGUUUGGAACGGAGAGGCUCCCGGUUCGAGCCCGGGUUACCCUACUA
rnacentral:tRNA from 1 species